GAUGAACGCUGGCGGCGUGCCUAAUACGUGCAAGUCGAGCGAACGGACGAGAAGCUUGCUUCUCUGAUGUUAGCGGCGGACGGGUGAGUAACACGUGGAUAACCUACCUAUAAGACUGGGAUAACUUCGGGAAACCGGAGCUAAUACCGGAUAAUAUUUUGAACCGCAUGGUUCAAAAGUGAAAGACGGUCUUGCUGUCACUUAUAGCUGGAUCCGCGCUGCAUUAGCUAGUUGGUAAGGUAACGGCUUACCAAGGCAACGAUGCAUAGCCGACCUGAGAGGGUGAUCGGCCACACUGGAACUGAGACACGGUCCAGACUCCUACGGGAGGCAGCAGUAGGGAAUCUUCCGCAAUGGGCGAAAGCCUGACGGAGCAACGCCGCGUGAGUGAUGAAGGUCUUCGGAUCGUAAAACUCUGUUAUUAGGGAAGAACAUAUGUGUAAGUAACUGUGCACAUCUUGACGGUACCUAAUCAGAAAGCCACGGCUAACUACGUG
rnacentral:rRNA from 1 species